AUUGCCCAGGCUGGAGUGCAGUGGCACGAUCUUGGCUCACUGCAACCUCUGCCUCCCAGGCUCAAGCGAUUCCCUUGCCUCAGCCUCCCGAGUAGCUGGGACUACAGGCAUGCACCACCAUGCUCAGCUAAUUUUUGUAUUUUUGAUAGAGACAGGGUUUCACCCUAUUGGCCAGGCUGGUCCUGAACUGCUGACCUCAAGUGAUCCGCCUGCCUCGGCCUCCCAAAGUGCUAGGAUUACAGCCAUGAGCCACCAUGCCCGGCAACAGUUUACUUCUGAUGGUUAACUUCAAAGUUAGGAGUUGUUCCACCAGAGGAUUGAUUAUAAGCCUAGAAAAUGAACUUGCUCCCUGCUUAAAGAAUCCAAACAAGCUGAGGAAGUUUCUUGAUCUGACAAUGGCCUCAAUUAUACCUUAUCUUCCCUACACCAGACAAGACUAUCAACCAAUUAUCUUCAGGCCACCAAACUUCUUGUCUCUAGGUCUUCAAGAAAGAGUGCCUUUUCCCCAUUAACACCAUAGAAUAAACUUGUAAAUGUAACUUCUGGACUGAUAGAUCAGGGGUUGGCAAAUUUUCAGCUUCACCACCUGUUUCUGUAAAUACAGUUUUACUGUAACACCAAUUACAUCCAUUCAUUUACAUAUUGUCUUAGUUGUGACAGAGACAACAUGGCCUACAAAGGUGAAAAGAUUCACUAACUGAUCCUUUAUGAAAAGGUUGGCCGACUCCUGUGAUAGAUUAUGUUUACCUUGGUUUUGGCCUUUAAUUUUAUUUAGUAGGCAUGGGGGAACCAAAAAGAUUAUUCAGUAUGCAGCAGCUCCUAUGAAGUUUAGCUUAAUCAAAUACAUAGAGGUGAGAUUUUCUUCAGUGCAUCUGAAUCAAAAUAUUAAAAUGAUCCAAAUGAGUGAUUAAGUUCCCUCUGUCUGCACAAAACACAUAGGCCUACAGUAUUGAAGCAGACUCCUUUUACGACAAGUAAUAAUACGUUGGACUUACAUUAAAUGAAGACAUGAAACAAUCUGGCAACAUUAAUAAAGCCAGGACAAUCAUCAAUUUUGCUGUUUUAUUAUACAGUAGGGAUAAAUAUUACUAAUGAUUCUUUUCAGAGGGCAUUGAAAUAUAUAAAAUACAAAUAAUUGAAUACUUUUCUUCACUUAGCUAGCUAUAAACUCAUUGCUUCAGUUUGUUGUUUUUUGUAUAAUUUAAAAAGCAUACGAACAUGAUUACAUCCCCUUUCUCCUUUUGUAAGAGUCUAAAUAACUUUUUUUAUUCAAGAUGGUUUACUGAACUAGUAUGGCCUCCAGAAACCUCCAAAAUUAAAGUACAGGUAACAGUGUGUGUGUGUGUGUGUGUGUGUGUGUGUGUGCGCGUGUGUAUGUGUGUUGUGUUUUGUGUGUGUGUGUGUGUGUGUAUGGGAGGCAUGAAGUGCAUUCAUCAGGAAUUAAGAGUCAAAUUUCUGAUAGACAAAAAGGAAGUUAUGCUCUAAAGGGUGGGCUUAGGUACAGUGUGAGAAAUGGGGCUAUAAAUGAGAAUGAAUUAAAAUUCUACAAAAAACAGACAAAGCUGUUACAACAAAUUCUCUCUGCCCUCUCCCUCUCCAGAACACAACCACCCAGGUACUUUCCCUAGGAAAAAAAGAGAAGGCUGUUAUCCAAAGAAAUGGAAUAGAAUGUCUGGUAAAAGCUAAGAUGUGGGUACUACGACCACCCACAUGGAGGUACUAAAUCUUCCAUGGGCUGGCAUUUGGGAGCAACCCCUACUAGAAAAAUACUCCAUCCUACUCACCAUAAAGCAGGGGUUCUCACCCUGCUGUCCAGAGACCCCCCCCUCAAGGGCCUAUGGAUUGAAUUCAGAAAAUUCAGUGAACUUGAAUUCAGAAAAUUCAGUGAACUUGAAUGAGAAGAAAACCACAUAUUAUUUUCAUCAACCUCCAAAUUGACAUUUGGUAUUUGAACAAAGGAAGUAUGUUCAAAUAUGUUAUUCCGUUUUGAACAUAGGAAACAAAAUAUAGCAGUAUCAGCAGUGCCUGUGACUGUCACUAACACAAAUCACAGAUAUUUUCAUGUAUCACAUUAUAGUUGUUGCAGAUCUCAAAAUACCUUUUAUGUUCAUGACCACUGCAAAAUUAGAAUCAGACUAACUGCUCUGCUAGGUCUUAAUAUUCAGUGUAUUAAUAAAGAACAUAUUACUCUAUAGCAUUUGUUUUUAAUAUUUUGAUAAACUGUAUUUCAAUCAAAUCAAUUUCCUUUGUAAUCAAACAUUUUAUUUUAUACACUUAAAAAACUUGAAAAGGGGUCCAUAGGCUUCACCAGACUGCUAAAGGGGGUGCAUGGCACAAAGUGGACUGAGAAUUGUUACACUGCUGGAAAACCUCCUAUCCACACAGCCUACUCACUCACCACCCAGUCAGGCUUCCUAUUUAGAGAAAAGGCCUUUAGAGACACAGACUUACCAACACAUCAGCAGAGGACAUCUAUUAACUCUCUGGGCCUUUCUUAAAUGAAUGGACAACAAAGGAAUACAAAAGCAUGUGACAAAAAUCUAGAGCUGGAGUCAGUGAACUACAACCCAAGGGCAAAAUCCGCUCUGCCACCUGUGUUUGUAAGCACCCACAAGCUAAGAAUGAACUUUACAUAUUUUUUCAUGGUUGAAACAAAAGAAAUCAAAAGAAUAUUUCAUGACACUUGAAAACUAUAUAAAAUUUAAAUUUCAGAGUCCAUAAAUACAAUUUUAUUGGAACAUAGGCAUACUCAUUCAUUUAUAUAUUAUAUGGCCUGCUUCUUUGCUACAACAGCAGAGCUGAGUAGCUGCAAGAGACCUUCAUGGCAUUCUCAUCACUUCGUAGAGAUGCUCAGUUAUAAAUUGACAACAUUUUGAGUGCUUCAUUGAGUACCUCAUGCUAUUUAAUUUUUUUUCCAGAGCAUACUUACCACAUCAAAACACAAAAAGCAAACUUCAAAUGUCAAGUAUUUAAAGGCGCAGUGAAUUGUGGAUUAUUAUACUGUCAAGUCAGACGGCAAAUCACUGUGGUUAUUAUGUAACAAUACUACAGUAGUGCUAAAAGAAAACAAUGUAUGUUGACAUUACAGUAUUAAGCAUUCACCACAAUAUUCCCAACUCACAAGAGAGUAACAGAAAAAUUAGAAAAUUUUACUCCAGCUCUCUUCUGAUUAAAAUUAUUCUUUUUUAAAAUUAGACAAUUUAAAAUAAAUGAUCACAUCCACAGAUCUUUCCAAAAAUAAAACAAAAACAAGACUAUAAUCAAAGUAAGUUUCAUUUGUAGCCAAAGAAAGCUUAUAAUGAGUUAAUUAAAUCAUGAUUGAUUACAGCAAAGAAAUCUGUCCAGAGAAAAUAAAGUUCUUAAGACAAGUGGCCUUUUGGCAAGAACAGCUGCUCAAAGAUAUGAGGAAACUGGAGCUUCAUCAGACAAUUUAAAACCAGAAAAUGCUUACUGAUCCCUGAUCUCCAGAACAUAACAAAAAAGCAAGAAAAUAACUGAAAAACAGAUCCAGAAGAAGCAACUAUCAUUUGAGAAAAAGAACUCGAAAAUUUAAAAAUACACAAAGAUAUUAAAAAAUAUAUUCAAAAACAAUGUUAGAAAGCUAUCAAAACAAGAAUAAGAUCUUAGUUAAAUUGUAAUUUAUGAAAUAAUGAUAAAUAGAAACAGAGGAAAUAUCUUGGGAUAUAAAGAAAAAAGAUAAAAAAUAAGAGAUAUGUCUCAUAUAAAAGGAUAUGAAUAAAUAAUCUCACCACAAUAGCACUAAGCAGAAUGAAUGAAAAAAGAUUCACAAUCGCAUAGAAUUAAGAAUGCCAAGAAUGAAGAGAAGAGCCUUAAAGCUUCCAGAGAAAACAGGAUACUUACAAAGAUAUUAGAAUGAAAUUGGUAAAUUUCACCUUUGUAACACUGGAUAGUAGAAGACAAUGGAGCAGUAACCUCAAACUUAAUUCUAUUUCAGCCAAACUAUCAACAAUGAGGUAAAUUCAAGAUAUUUUCAGAAAUGUUAACAAGAACUCAAAAAUCUGUCUUCCAUGCAUCCCUACAUAUG
ensembl:lncRNA novel transcript, antisense to ZC3H8